GAUGAACGCUGGCGGCGUGCCUAAUACAUGCAAGUCGAACGCGCAGCGAAAGGUGCUUGCACCUUUCAAGCGAGUGGCGAACGGGUGAGUAACACGUGGAUAACCUGCCUCAAGGCUGGGGAUAACAUUUGGAAACAGAUGCUAAUACCGAAUAAAACUUAGUAUCGCAUGAUACAAAGUUGAAAGGCGCUACGGCGUCACCUAGAGAUGGGUCCGCGGUGCAUUAGUUAGUUGGUGGGUAAAGGCCUACCAAGACAAUGAUGCAUAGCCGAGUUGAGAGACUGAUCGGCACAUUGGGACUGAGACACGGCCCAAACUCCUACGGGAGGCUGCAGUAGGGAAUCUUCCACAAUGGGCGAAAGCCUGAUGGAGCAACGCCGCGUGUGUGAUGAAGGCUUUAGGGUCGUAAAGCACUGUUGUAUGGGAAGAAAUGCUAGAAUAGGGAAUGAUUCUAGUUCGACGGUACCAUACCAG
rnacentral:rRNA from 1 species